UCCGGCUUAUCACCGGCAGUUUCUUUAGAGUGCCCAACUAAAUGAUGGCAACUAAAGACGAGGGUUGCGCUCGUUGCGGGACUUAACCCAACAUCUCACGACACGAGCUGACGACAGCCAUGCACCACCUGUAUAGGGCCCUUACGGACCUGCCAUCUCUGACAGUUUUCCCUAUAUGUCAAAUCCAGGUAAGGUUCUUCGCGUUGCAUCGAAUUAAUCCGCAUGCUCCGCCGCUUGUGCGGGCCUCCGUCAAUUCCUUUGAGUUUUAGCCUUGCGGCCGUACUCCCCAGGCGGGGCGCUUAAUGCGUUAGCUGCGCCACUGACAGGCAAGCCUGCCGACGGCUAGCAUCCAUCGUUUACGGCGUGGACUAC
rnacentral:misc_RNA from 1 species